ensembl:miRNA pma-mir-144 pma-mir-144
ACGUCUGUGCAGGAUAUCAUACUAUACUGUAAAUCAAUGCUGAACCAUUACAGUAUAUAUGAUGUGCUGCGGAGGGCU